CUCAGUCAUAUGCUUGUCUCAAAGCUUAAGCCAUGCAAGUGUAAGUUCACGCCACGCAUUAGAACGGGCGAAACCGCGAAUGGCUCAGGAACCGGACCUAAUCCUCGGGACCGUAUUCCUCCUCGGAGGCGAUGGAUAACUGUGGCAAUUCUAGAGCUAAUACAUGUGACACAGGCCGCGAUCGGUCGGCGCGUUGUCGUCGCCUCGCCUUGCGCGCUGGCACCCGCGUCGGCCGUUCCGGGUCGCGGCGCUACAUAUUAGACUGAGACCGAUGCGCGUCAUUCCGUCCUCCCGUCGUCGUCGUCGGCGUCAGCCGUCGUCGGCGGCGGGGCUCAUAGGGCGGCGCGCUCCGCUUUGGUGACUCUGGAUAACUCACUGGUCGAUCGCACGGGCUUUACGCCCGGCGACGGGUCUCUCGAGGGUCCGCCCUAUCAACUGUCGACGGUCGGUUAAGUGCCUACCGUGGUUACUACGGGUAACGGGGAAUCGGGGUUCGAUUCCGGAGAGGGAGCAUGCGAAACGGCUACCACAUCCAAGGAAGGCAGCAGGCGCGCAAAUUACCCACUCCCGGCACGGGGAGGUAGUGACGAAAAAUAACGACGCGGGACUCUGUCGAGGCCCCGCGAUCGGAAUGAGUACACUUCAAAUCCGUUAACGAGGACCAACCGGAGGGCAAGUCUGGUGCCAGCAGCCGCGGUAAUUCCAGCUCCGGUAGCGUAUAUUAAAGUUGUUGCGGUUAAAAAGCUCGUAGUCCGAACUCGGGUUCGUGGUCGCGCAAGCGGCCCCGGGGCGGCGGCGCCAUCGUCCGUCGUUGACUUUGGUCGUCCGUUCGCAUUCCCGGCCCUUUCCGCCGGUGUCAACCGCUAGCAUAUCCGUCACGCGGUCCUGCCGGCGAGGUGGACGAGGAUGUCGAGUCGGGAUCCGGGAGCGGUAAUGGGCUGGGAACGAAAUCACGGGGUCUGGGGGGUUAGCGGUGGUGUCGGCGUCAACGCUCGUCGUCGCCCGGGCCGGCGGCGCGGGGGUUCAUUCCUCCGUCGUCUCCGCGUCCGGUGUCGUCGUCGGGUGUCCGUCGUCGUCGUCGCGCUCCCCUUCCUCGCUUCCUCCCUCCUCGCCCUCCCCCCGACCCACUCCGAGUCCCUGCUUCGUGUCUGUCUGCGCGCGUGUGCGGUCGGCGGUUUCUCCUCCAAGGGUGCUCUUAACCGAGUGUCCGCGGCGGCCGGUACGUUCACUUUGAAAAAAUUAGAGUGCUCAGAGCGGGCUGUUCAAGCUUGCAUACGAUAAGCAUGGAAUGAUGGAAGAGGGCCUCGUCUACGUCUGUCGGUCUCCGUCUACGGCGAGGCAAUGAUCGAAGGGAGCGGUCGGGGCCACUCGUAUUGCGACGUUAGAGGUGAAAUUCUUGGAUCGUCGCAAGACGAACUGCAGCGAUGGCGUGUGGCAAGCACGUUUUCCUCGAUCAAGAGCGAAAGUCGGAGGUUCGAAGACGAUCAGAUACCGUCGUAGUUCCGACCGUAAACGAUGCCGACCGGCGAUCCGCCGGCGUUCGCUUCCAUGACCCGGCGGGUAGCCUGCGGGAAACCAGAGUUCGGUUCCGGGGGGAANNNUGGUUGCAAAGCUGAAACUUAAAGGAAUUGACGGAAGGGCACCACCAAGGAGUGGAGCCUGCGGCUUAAUUUGACUCAACACGGGAAAACUCACCCGGUCCGGANNCCNGGNNGGAUUGACAGAUCGAUAGCUCUUCUCCAU
rnacentral:rRNA from 1 species